rnacentral:rRNA from 1 species
UACGUAGGGUGCGAGCGUUAAUCGGAAUUACUGGGCGUAAAGCGUGCGCAGGCGGUUUGUUAAGUCCGCUGUGAAAGCCCCGGGCUCAACUUGGGAAUGGCAGUGGAAACUAGCGAGCUAGAGUGUGUCAGAGGGGGGGUGGAAUUCCACGUGUAGCAGUGAAAUGCGUAGAGAUGUGGAGGAACACCAAUGGCGAAGGCAGCCCCCUGGGAUAACACUGACGCUCAGGCACGAAAGCGUGGGGAGCAAACAGG